CUAUAUAAACCUGCAUUUAUCCACAGGUUUAGGCAUGAAAAAUUUUCUGAAUAUACAAACUCUUCUUGUCUUUAAAACAUUCUGUGUGAUCAAUCAAACUGUUGAGUGAGUUCGUUGAAUCCAACAAUUUGAGGUACCGCUAUUAUUCGGAUUGAAGGGGAUUUUAUCCUAGGAGGAAGAUUCCAUAACCUCGGGUACAGUGAGGAGAAUUAUUCCUUAAUGACACUCCGUGAAGUCGGGGGACUUGGCCUUACAAAUUCUAUUUCAUCUAUUUUCUGAAAAUAAACACACUUCUUAGAUAGAUUAUUCAUAAUCUAGUGCUGAAGGUGUUAAGUAACUUCAAAAGUGUUCUUGUCUUGGAGUUGAACUAAAGUUGAAGUUGGUGUUACAUGUAUACAGAUUUUUGUACCCAAACACCACAAAACUACAGUAACUUACAUUAAGGCGAUAAAGAUAUGUCUGGUGGAGUCAAGAUCCGAGUGAAUACGAUUGAAGGAGACUCAAAACACUUUCCUAUCUUGAUGGGGUUGCACCACGAUUCAGCUCAUAGUUUGUUUUAAUUUAUUAUGGUGAUGAAUGAACUAAUGUUGCACAUCGGGGAGGGGGGAGUAGCAUGAUGUAUGUUAUUUGCAAAUGAUAUAGUGUUGAUGAGAUUAGCGACAAGUUAACGAUGGACUGAAGAUUUGGAGACCAACUCUAAAAUCUGAAGGGUUCAAAUUUAGCAGACUAGAGAUUUGACAGUUCUUUUUCACGUUCAUACAUUUUCUAUUUUUUAAAGUUAAAUUGGUUGUCGAAUACCAUCCUUCUUCUUGGUAAACAAAAAUCAUUAAACUAAAUUUUUGUGUACUUUAAUUUAUAAUAAUGAAAUAAGAUUUAAAUGUCAAGUGGUAGUAUUACUACUAUUAAUAAGAGUGAAAAACAGGCAGCACUUCGUCAACAUGACUGCUUCUUCACCUGUUUCAGUUGCUUCGUGAUUUUACUAUAUUAUCCCUAAUUAAUUAUUUUAACUUAUUUAUAUAUAAGAAAUAUAAUAAUACUUAAUUAAAAAAAAAAAAAAUAGACAUUUAUGACAUGUUUGUUUCAGCUGCUUUAAUUGUAGUUUUAUUUUAUCACCUCAAAUUAAUUAUUAUUUCUUACGCCCUUUCUGUUAUGUCAUACAUCCCCUUGUUUACUAUUCUUUACAUUGAGUCAGGGGUCUCUCGGAAACAACCUCUCUACUUAUUCGGAGGUAGCAGUAUGGAUUACGUACAUCUUACCCUCCCCAGAUCCUACUUUGUGGGAAUACACUGGGUUUGUUGUUGUUGUUGUUGUUGUAUCCAAGUAUUAAAAAAAUAAUAAUAUUUAAUAAAUAAUAAAAUAAAUAUAAAUGAUAAAUCAAUUCUUGAUGUUUUAAAUUAAUAGGACAUCUUAUAUGAGACUUAUUUUAAAAAAUUCACAAGUAUGUUUGCUCCAUGAUUUUACUAUAUUACCCCUAAUUAAUUAUUGUAAGACAUUUACAUAUAAUAAAAUUAAUAAUAUUUAAUAAAAAAAUAAAAUAGACAUUUAUGACAUGUCUACUUCAGCAGCUUCAACCGUAAUUUUACUAUAUCACCCUUAAUUGAUUAUUAUAAGUCAUUUAUAUAUUUAAAAUUUAAUAAUAUUUAAUAAAAAUAAAAUUGACAUAAAAUGAUAAAUUAAUUCUUGAUGUUUUAAAUUAACAUGACAUCUUAUAUGAGACUCAUUUAAUUUUUUUCACAAAUAUUUUCUCAUAAUAGUUUUUCUAUAUCACCUCUAAUUAGGUAUUAUAAGUUAUUUAGGAUAUAUCCACUUCGGUGCUUCAAUCAUUAAAUUUGGUUGACUCUCGAAUUUAUUUUAGUGCUACUUAAAUUGGAAUAGAAGAAAAAGUAUUAUAAAUCAUAAUAACUAAAAACUUAAAUUAUUUUAAGAAUAUAACUGAAUAUCAAUGCCACAAAAAUUUGAAUAAGGAGAGUAACACAUAUUAUUUGAAAAUUACAUAAAAAAAUAUUAUAAUUUACAAUAGCUAACAAUUUAAAAUAUUUAAAAACACAUUAAGAAUCUUAUUGAUUAUCUAAAUUAUGUUUGUGUCACGUAAAUUCGAGAUAGUCUUGACAUUUUAUAAUUUGCAUGUUUUAUUGUUUUAAUUUAGUAAUUUGUUGAUCCAAAUGAUGUUUUCAAAUUUAACAUGUUUUAAAAAAUUAGUACUUUGUUUAUUUUAAUUUAUUUACUUUAUUUUGGUAAAAUAUUAUAUAUUUAAAAAUUAUGCAAAAAAAAAAUUAUAAGUCAUAACUAUUAACAUCUUAUAAUAUUUUAAAAACAUAUAGUAAAAAAUAUGAUUUACUUUUGAAAUUCUAAUAGUGUCACAUAAGUUGCGAUAAAGCAAGUAAUAUAAAUUAUUUGAAAUUUCAUUAAAACAUACUAAAAUCACAAAGAUUAACAACUUCAAAUAUUUAAAAAAAUAUAUUAGUAAAAAAAAUUGAUUGACUCACUAAAUUCUAAUAUUGGGACAAAGCAAGUAACAUAAAUUACUAAAUUACAUAAAAGAUACUAUAAAUCACAAUGAUUAGCAACUUAAAUUAUUUAAAAAUUUUAUAUUAAUAAAAAUUUGAUUGACACUACUCCAAAAACUAUUUAUAUUAUAUAAAUUGAGAUAACGUAAAUAAUAUAUAUUAGGAGUGGAUGGAAGAAAUGAAGGGUCACCUUUUUUAUUUGAAAUUCUUGUAAUGUGACAAAACAUUUUUUUCCUUUUACUAGAAUACCAACUCUAUCCCGUAUUACUAUAUUGUUUUAUUUCCUAUUACAUAUCUUUUAAAGAAACUAGGAGAUUAUUUUUACCAAUUUAACAUUUAACUCUUUUUAUACUAUAUUAUAUUUACCUUCUUUAUCCAUCAAUAUAAAAAUUAACAAUGAAAAACUUUCUUGAAACUCUGCAUAAUUUUAUCUUAAUUUUGUAAAUUAAUAAAUAAUUUGAAACAUGUCGUAUCACUUGGGAUUUGACUAUCACUGGGGGUUUUUCAGUAAAAUCAUGUAGCACAGCUCUAGAAAGUGCAUACGACGCAAAUUCUCAAAACAAUCUUAUACCCAGAACCUAAUCUCCUUUAUUUGGAUUUGAAAACUUUGGAUCCCUCCGAAAUUAAAAUAUUUUCCGUGGCUCCUGAAUCAUGGACGAAUAACUAACUCUAGCUUGCUAUACCAUAUUAAAGUUGUAGAUUCUCCUAUGUGUAGGCUUUGCAAUACAAUGGCUGAAGAAACAAACGCUCGCCCUUUCGUCCUUUGUCCAAAGGUUGCACCAAUAUGGACUGGGUUUAGUGUCAUGCAUCAGCUGAGCACUCUUGUAUCAACUGAUACUCACCCGUCCCGAUGGUUACAUGAUCUAAUCCACCACUAUUUAAACCCCUCCGAAGGGGUGUGGUUACGCACACCCUCUAAGAUCUACAUGGCUUUUUGCAUCUGGCAUAUCUAACUUGCACGAAAUAAAUUCAUAUUUGAAAGUAUUCUCUUUUUACCGUCUUUAAAGGACGUUUCACAAAUGGCCGAGGAAUUUCGGUUCCUAGUAGGCCUUACGGGGGAAAACUAAGAUUUCAAUGGAUCCGAAGGGGCACACCCCCCCCCCUCCCCCCCCCGCGCGCAAGCAAACUGCAUGCUUAAUACUGAUUGUGCUUCUGAGACCUCAUCUACAAAUCAACAUUAACUCGGCCUAGGUGGUGUUUUCUGGAACUAUAAGGCGGAAUGGGUAUUAGGCUUUCAUGGAACCUGCGCUGUUACAGAUGUCCUGGAAGGAGAAACUUACGCUCUGUUAUUAGGACUCCGGUUUGUUUAUCAGAACAACCUUUUUCCACUGGAAAUUGGGAUAGACUCUCAACAAUUAGUCCGACUACUUGAUUCUAAUACAUAUCCGAAUUUAACUUUGAUAUCUGACUCAACUUUAAUAUCUGAUUAUAGGUACCUCCUGGGCGCACUAGAUAAUCGUCAACUGCACCACUUUUUCAGGGAACAGAAUAGGCUAGCUGACAGAUUGACAAGAUUACCUAGUACAAUCUCUACUACUAUGUUGUUUUGGACUCCACCACAGUCACUCAGUGACAUUUUGUAUGCCGAUAUAAAUGGAGUAUUAUUAGUUAGACAGUUGAACACUUUAACUGUUCACCCAAGCGUGUAUUAUAUUAGUCCCAUACAGGAUUUCAAGGGCUCCUACUUCUACUACCACACUUGUGACUCGAUCACAACUAGACUUGUAAAUGUUUUUGUGUUAUAAAUAAAACUCUGCCUGUUUCACCAAAAAAAAAAUCGUACGAACUAAAAAAUUUCUACGUUGCCUAGACCUAUUAUCAUGGCAAAAUGACCUUCUGGACCCUUGUACUAUGUCGAUUUUGUAAGUUAGAUACUUCUACUUAUAUGUUUGUCAUCUGGACCCCUGAAUCCACUAAAAAACAACAUUUUAAAUCCUUUUUUGGUGAGUGUAAUGCACUCUUUCCACGUCAGCGGCCACGCCUGCCUCAUUUGCCACGUUAUUUAAAAAAAUAAAAAAAUAGAAAGUAUUAUAUUAAAUUUCAAGUCAUUUUUAAAAUGCUAAAUAACAAAUUAAAUAUUAAAAUUAACUUAAUUAAAUAAGAAAAAUUUAUAAUUGUAGAAAAAUUUGAAUAAUCAUGUUUUUAUUUUUGCUCACAAAUUAAACAUCAAAUUCAUUCCAAAUAAUUAAAAUUCUUUUCGAACUAAUUUAAAUUUUGAAUUAUAAAUUCAUAUAUACAAACAUAAUAAAAUUUUGAUUUUUAAAUUUGAAUAUCUUUAAAAAAUUCACAAAAAGUUUAAUUUUUUUCAAGAAAAAUUCACUAAUUUUUUAAAGUAUUCACUAUCACUCAUUUUCAAUUCAAAUUUAAAUUUUAAUAAUAAUAAAAAAGAUUUCAAAUUUAAAUUUUUAUUCAAAAAAAUGAAAAGAAUUGAAUUGAGGGAAAAUUAAAAUAAAAAAUAAAAAGUAAAGAUGGUGGUAGGAAGGGGUGUUGGAAGAGUGUUGGGGUAGGGUGUGGGGUUGAAAAGGACUAGGAUGGGGUGGAGAUAGGGCUAGGAGAAGUUUGGGGGCUGGAGGUGGGGUUGGAAGGGGCUGGACUAAGAUAAUGAGGUGUGUGGGUGGGGAUAGGGCUGGGGUGANNNNNNNNNNNNNNNNNNNNNNNNNNNNNNNNNNNNNGGGGCGGGGAGGAAAAAAAUAAUUUUAUUUUAUUUUAACUUUUAAAAAAUAAUUUUAAAUUAUCUUAAAAUUCUAUUUUUUUAAAAAAAAAUUUAAAAAUAUUUUAAAAUUAUUUUUAAAUUUUUCAAAAUAUUUUUAAAUUAAAAAGGAUGGAGGAAAAAAAAGACCCUUUUUAAUUUUUUUUAAUUUUAAUAUUAUUUUUUAAAAUUAUUUUAAUGUAAAAUUGGCCUCCACUCGCACCAUCAGGCGAGUGGCUACACUCUAUUUGUCAUAGUCACCAUUUCAAUGCCACAUAGGCAAGAUCAACGGUCAAAUAGUGCAAAAUAUUAUGUUUUAAUGGGUACAAGGGUCCAGAUGACAAACAUAUAAGUAGAAGUGUCUAAAUUACAAAAUCGACAUAGUAAAGGAGUCCAAAAAGUGAUUUUGCCUAUUAUAAUCCCUAGAUCUUGUUUCACAUGGAUCCUAUCGCCGUCCAAUCAUAUUCAGUUUCCGGGUCUCACCCGGAUCGAUAUUUCUAUCCGUCGAUUAACAAGUAAAUCCCCAAAUAUUUAACGGCUGCGAUUGACUUCUCCAAAUCCCCCAAUUCAUUUCGAACCGGGAAAUUUACGUCGGCCCAAAUCCCCCAACUAUAAAUUACCCACCACCAUCUGCUUCAUUUCUCAUUCAAAUUCAAAACCCUAGAAUCUUUAUCUUCUUCAAAUUCGUCUCUGUGAAAAUGUCUGGCCGCGGAAAGGGAGGCAAGGGAUUGGGAAAGGGAGGAGCCAAGAGGCACAGGAAGGUUCUUAGAGACAACAUCCAGGGAAUUACCAAGCCAGCUAUUCGUAGGCUUGCUCGCAGGGGUGGUGUGAAGCGUAUCUCUGGUUUGAUCUAUGAGGAGACCCGUGGAGUUCUUAAGAUCUUUUUGGAGAAUGUGAUUCGUGAUUCAGUUACCUACACUGAGCAUGCUAGGAGGAAGACUGUUACUGCUAUGGAUGUUGUUUAUGCCCUCAAGAGGCAGGGAAGGACUCUCUACGGAUUUGGUGGUUAGAUCAGUUGUUAGUUAGUAGAUGUAGAUCUGAUGGAAAUUUCUGCUGUUUCUGUGUUUUAGUUUCUAUUUAGUGUUGUUCUACUUCUUAUGCUCUCUAGAUAUUGUAAUUUCUCAUUACAUAUUCAAUGAACAGCUGCUCAAUUUCUAGAAAUUACAAUGGUUGUUCUCCAGCUGACUAUUAUUGUUGUUAAUUGAUUGAAAUUACAUAUCCUGUUUUUGCAACCAUGGGUUUGGGUAUUCAUACAUUUGCGAAGUGCAUACAUUUUCUUUGAUUUAUGUUCUUCAUUGGUUAUUGUUUGUUCAAUUUGAAUUUUGACAAGUGCCUGCUUGGAAAUAGAAGAGAAAUCUGUUCCAACAGUGCUGCCACAUAGUAGUAGACUACCUUGUAAAGAGCUCGGCAAAUUAUGAAAGUUUGGCUCCAAGCCUACUCAACAAAAUUCCCCAGAUUUUCAUCAAUGAAAGGUGACACGAAGUAAAAAUAAAAUGAAAAAUUGACAGCCACUUGCUUUGUUGUGUUAAUUUGGAUGGCUAGGGUGUGCAUUCAAUCUUCGUUUGUUUUUCUUUGUUUUAGUAGCUGAUUGAUUACCUUCAUACUGGUCUUAGACUGUUCAAAGACUAUCUGCACUAGUGUUUUCACCUGAAGGAUUUAGGCACGUUAAAGUGUUUUCACUGAAUUAAUAAUUUAGGCAACAAGUGUUUUUGUAUGAUUGGGAUAUUUCUUUGUCUAUGCAAAUAUGCCUUGGACAUAAUUUUUGAGGCUGGAAUAUUGGGAGCCAAGCCAAUUAGCACUCCCUUGGAGAAAAUCGUAAGUUGGCACUGGUCGGGGGAGCAGACCUUACAGAUCCAAAAGAUAUUAUCGGUUGGUUGAUUGCCUUAUAUAUCUUUGUUUCACUCUACCUGAGUUAUCAUAUGCUGUGUGUAUGUGUUGUCUUAGUUCUUAUAUCAACUAAAGAGGUGAAUGGUGUUGCGACUCUAUGGGUAGUGCACUAGUACAACUCUGGAAGAAAAUAUGGUGCAGAAACAAAAUACCAGUAGAUGAUGAUGACCAUUUGUGAAUUGCAAUGGUUAAAAGUCGUCAAUAUAUAUUGUGACGGUCAAUCAACACUUCACAUUACCCAGAAUUUGAUUUUCUAUGAACUAACCAAAUUUUAGUUAAAGACACUGAACGACCCAGAAUUCAUGGCAAAACAACUUCAGGAUUUGUAUUACCGCGUUUUAGGCAGCGAUAAACUUCAUUGCUCUCAAUCAGCAGUUGCUGGACAUGUGCUCCGUAUAGCAGAAGUGGAGAUGUCAUGUUAAAUGAACACCAAACAUUGCCAUAUUACAAAAUGACAAUAUAGUGAUGCAAAAAGCAACAUGAAUAAACAAAAAGCAUAAUUUAUAAAAAUGCCCUUUUAGUUGGCCUCAUCUCGCAUCUAUGACCUCCAACUCUGCAUGUGCUUAAGUGGACCCUUAAACUUGUAUAAAGUUGAAUAAGGAGACACGCGUCCUAUGUGGCAAUAAUACACGUAAGACGUGAUGUAGGACAUGAAUUAGCCACGUAGGAUAACACACAGGACUCAUGUGUCUAUUUGUUUAACUUUAUACAAGUUUAAGUGUCUACCUAUACGCACUCAAAGUUAGAAGGCCAUAAAUACAAGCUGAAGUCAAGUAAAAGGCCACAUUUAUGUAUUAUGCCUAAACAAAUAGUAAACUAGGAUGUCGCUCAUAAAUGAACUCUGGGAUAAGAGUAAAAGUAUGUGUUAAAAUACGACUUCGCCACAUACUGAAACGUCAUCUUUCCCCAUAAUAGUCAUCCACAUCUAUAAGAAAACAAACUAAAGUUGACUAGCAUUACUGUAUAUAGAUGUUGCAGUUAAGGAAAUACAUCUCUGACAGUCGACUUGCUUAAAGAAAUUGAAAGAUGAACUGUAGUACCAGAGCUCAAACAGGUACUGUAAUCCCAAAAUCAACCUGAAUAUGUACUGUAAUCCCAAAAUCAAAUAGAGAAAAGAAUCUUUCUUUUGUCAAGUAUGAACUCCAUUCAGAAUGGUCGGCUAUCAAUGUCUGUGUUUUAAUCAUUAGUUGGUUUGUAUUAUAUAUUCCAUCACCCAGUCGAUCCACAUCUUCAUUCAGUGCAUUGGUGCGCCUCCAUCAUGAUCAGCAUUUUGCUCAUUAGCGCCUCCAUAGUGAUCAGCAUUUUGCUCAUUAUUAGCGCCUCCAUAGUGAUCAGCAUUUUGCUCAUUAUUAACGCCUACAUCCUGAUCAGCAUUUUGCUCACUAUUAGCGCCUCCAUCUUGAUCAUCAUUGUGCUCAUUAGCGCCUCCAUCUUGAUCAGCAUUUUCCUCAACAACUUCUAAUUCUACGUCGUGUAAAGGAAACAACGGAUCAUUAUUCCAGUAAGUAAGCCUGUGCCUGCCACAAAAUGCUCAUCUCUAUUAACCCUUACCAGUCAUACUGCAUAUGUCUACAGUCUGAAUUUGCAUAUUCAUAAUUAGAAACUUACAGUAUCAUAAGGAAUCUUCCUUGUCUAAUGGACAUGGAUGGUUGAGGGACUGCUAUCUGGAGAAAUCAUUAAUUCAGUAUUUAAUAAAAAGGAGCAACAAAAUCUCUUGUUCAGGAAAAUCAAAUGCUCUUUGGUAUUAGUUUCUUACAUAUCGCCACCCGAGCAGCAGUCCACAUUGGACACAGAGGGCAUCGGCCAGGGUGUUUCCACCCACUACAUGAAGAGCAUUCGCGUCUUGUAAUACUUCAACAUUAAACCUGCAUAUAUACAAAUGUGUGCAAUAAUACAUAUAUGUCUCAGACCGCAGAAAGUUUAGGCAAAUGACAAAUCUCAAGUUGCAGAAAUCAUAUGUAAUAUUCAUUUUUCAAAAAUGCAUGAAAUCUGAGACUUACACUCCACGAAAGAUCCCUACUGGCAAUACGGCUUGCACCUGCUCGGUGGAAAAGACAAGAAAAUGAGCAUAAUAACUUGUUUUGUGCUUAGUCAAGAAAUAUAACAUAUAUGCUUAAUUAAUCACAAUUCAUGAUGCAAAUAAAGCCAUUGAAUCUUACAUAUUGUCUUUAUGAAAUCAGUAGCAAUUUCAUCAAAAGAUACAACAUACUUUUUCCUAAACGAAUAGUUAGAACAAUUUAGAAGAAAUUAAUUCAAGAUUGUCCUGAAUUUGUUUGUGAACCAUUUGGUGUGUUCACAGACAAAUUGAUACUAUAAACAAAUUGCAAGAAAUGAUGCUGAGAGAUAGAGCGAGAAUCCUUACGGGCUGAAGGUAAUUCCCGAUGUGCACAACUGGAUUUCUGCACCUACGACAGCGGAUCCAAUCUGGAGGUCUCAUUGUAUCGACUUUGCGAAUCAAGAUGCAACUCCUAAUAGAUAUGUCAUAAGAACAAAUUCACUUAAACAAAGAACAAGGUGGAAAUUAUAACAGAGUUACCAGCUGUGAUAAAUCGAGUUCUUCACCGGAAAAAAGACUAGCUAGCUUCUCACCAUAUAACAAAUGUAACCAAGAAAAUGAAAAGAGUGAAUUUAAUGUGGCCGAAAAGAGAAUGUUGAUAUAGAAAAGCCACUUCUUGAUUCAAGAAAGUAGAAAUAAUCAAUGAGAGAAAAGGACUAACUUUCGUAGCAGAAUAUGAAUGUAACUUGGAGAAGAGAGCUGGUGGAGAAUGAGAAUUCAAGAAAAGUAGAAAAAUGCAGAACGAGUGAAUUUAAUGGAAGUGAGAAGAGAGUGUCAAUACAGAAAAGCUCUGUUUUGACGGUUAAUUCAAAAAAGUAGGGAGAUACAAUAAUUUUUAAUUAUGUAUCCGAAAAUUACCAAAACUAUGUAUUUGAGAAUGUAUCCAACUGUUUUGUGUUUUUUUAAAAAGUGGUUUAGGUAAUUAAUAAAAAGUGUAACACUUUAUUUAUUUGGACGGUGGUUUGUCAUGGUUUUAUAAUGUACCGUAUUGUAUAGUAUGCUAUUUUAUUGUUCAAUACAGAAAAUAGAAUAUUUGAAUGGACUGUAUCGUUCACUUUUAUUUCAUAACAGUUUUAUUGUUUUGUUUGACGGUAUGGUACUGUAUCGUACCAGAAAAAAUUAACUAAAAUAUCCUUAAUUAUUACAAAUAUUAAAUUUAUCAAAAUUCUUAAUAAAAUAGUUUUCUUCUUGCUAAUCUGUCACAAAUUAUGUCAUGUAAAUAUAUUAAAUUGUUAAGUUCAUGUAAAUUCUAACAAAAUUAAUACAAGAGUAGAUCAAAAUAAAUGUAAUCUGAUUUAUUUUUAUAGUAACAAAUUUCAUUUUCUUUUGGUGUUUUGAAGCGUGACCACCAACGACAAGUACAAAGUUUGAAUGCAGCUUUUGUGUAUGCUACAGGUGUGUUCGGUAUGAAAUACAAAAAAAAAUUCUAGGAAAACUAAUUAUUUCUUACUUAUUUUCUUGUGUUCGUUAUCCAAAUAGAAAAAUAUUUGUAUAUAUUUAACACAAAACAAUGAGAACGAAUAGGAUAAGGGGAUGGGGUAAGAUUUUAAAAAAAAAAGUUGAGGUAGGGGUUUGGUAAGGGGUGAGGUCGGGGGUCAGGUAGGGAUGGGAUAAGAAAAAAAUUUAUAAUUUUCUAAAAAAGAAAUUUUAAAAAUAAUUUUUGCGGGGGAGGGGGAGGGGUGCCUUGUGGGGUGGGGUUUAGGAUAGGCGGUGGAGUAAAUUUAAUAUAGGGUAAAAAAUAAAAUGAGAUUAUAUAAUAUUAAAUAAGGACAUAAUUGAAAAAAAAAAAUAAACAAACCAUGGAAUACCACCAAAUCAGUGACUAUAUAAAGUGAGGGUUUUAACAAAUCAUGAAAUUAAGUUAUACCAUAUCAUACAUGUUAAGAAACAAUCAAAACAAACAUAGUUCUAUUUGCAUAAUUUGACAUAUGUUUUGAAAUAUGAAUUCUCUUAAACUGUUUGAAUGAUAUGGUGGUCCAAACUUUAUGUUUUGAAUGAAGAGACCGGAACUUGAUAUUUUAUGGCUUAGAGAUAUGACUUGCAAGUCUUGAUAUGACGAUACCAAAUCAGAUAACGCCAUAAUAGACUGAGAACAGAAUAUAAGUCAAAUCUCAUUCAGAUUUUCAGAUUUUGAAUUCAGAAAGAUGCAUGUUUAGAACAGGUUAAAAAUGGGCACCAAGAGAGUUAGGUGGUUACCCGAAGUAGGCAUGAGUCAUAUGAUUCGUGCCUGAAAUCGUGUUUUAUCAAUACGGAUUUAUUAUAUCCCCAACGAGGGAUUAUAAGUUGGCCUAGUGCCUUGUGGCGUAUUAGAUUCAGAUACUCCAACCCUUGCGGUAAAUUUGGUGUAAUGACCCUUCAGGUCAUUUUUUAUAUUUAUGCUUAUUUUCACCGUUUGAGCUUCUUCAUAGCUGCCCCAAGUCAUUUAUGACUUGCUGGGACUGAGGAUUCGGUUAUCGGGCAGUUCGUUUGGUUUUUAGAGUCAACUCCCUCUUUAGAAGUCUUCGUUGGUUUCAAAUGGCCACCAAUCAAAAACUUCAGCGAACGAUCUCGGAUGAAAAUUUCGACUGCACCAGCAUAUCCGAAAUAUAGAUUUAAGUCUAGGUAGACCUUUGGUUUGGGUCCCAAUGCACCCGAACUCAUUUCGACCUAUUAGUCGAAAAGUCAUAAAAUCAAAACUAUAUAUGUGGGCCCCACUUUUUGCCUAAACAACCUUGUAUGGAGGUUUUGAUGAUUCCAAUGGUUUUGAAUUGUGGUUUACACUCAAAUUUCACUAUUGGAUCAUAUAUUUUGGGUCCCGAAUGAGUUUCGAGGGUCAAAAAUAAAUUUUUGACUUUGCUGUCGCAGGAUACCGCGUCUAUUCGCCGAAGGGGUCUAUAAAUAGAUCCAAGGUCGUGAUUUUGGGGAUUUUUCUUUCACAUUUGAGAACUUAAAACCCUAAAUGGGUAUGAUAACUUGAAAUUUAGUCUUGUGGGUGUCUAGGGAGCUUGGUAAACAUUUUUUAUCAUGAUUAAGGUAAGAUUUCAUCACUUUAUUGGUGAAUUUCAUUGUUCUUAACCCAAAAUCCCAAUUUUAGCUUAGGGCUUGAUUUAGCCCCAAAUUUCGUUUGUUUGUACCCAUCAAUUUAGGGUUAUGCUUUCUUGGUGUUAGAUGAGCAUUGGGUUGACCUCAGAAAUGCGAUUUUCGUAUGUGAGAUCCACUUGGACUUUUUGGUGUCAUUUUUGGACCCGAAGCACAAUAGUGCAAUAUAGGUAUCGUUAGACUCGUAUUGAUGAGUAGAUUAUAUUUUUGAUAUUGUGAUGGCAUUUUGGAGAUUGUGAAGUGAAGACGAGUAUAUGGUGCUUGAAGUGUGAUUUUGCGAUUUAGCCUUGAGGUAGACUUCUGUCUACUCUUCUUCAUGGAUGAUUGUAACACCCCGUAUUUAAGUACAUAUAUUGGCGUAUUCAAGUACGUGUAUUGGUCUUAUUUAUAUGGAAUUAAUUUUAUUUUAUUUUAUUUAUACCAGAAUUUGCCUGUCGAUGGUUCCAUAUGAAGGUUAUUGAAUAAGCUUUCCAACGAUAUAAAGAUUUCCAAAAACGGAUAGGUUUCGGAUAUAAUCGAGCACGUUCGAAACUAUAAAACGGUGGCCGGGAUAUUUGGGAAUAGUAAAUGUGCAGGAAAAUUUCCUGCACACAAACUACUGAGGUCAGUCAUUUUUUUUGGGUCAACUUUGAACGAUCAUAACUCCCUUAAUAUAAUGAACUGGGAGAUUUUCCACCUAUGAAAAGAAAGAUCUUUGAGUCUUCUUUCCAAUGCAAUUGGUUUCAUCCAAAUCCGACAUCUGAGUAAUGAGUUAUACUCGUUUUACUUCAGCCUCUCAAAAUAGAUUUUUAGGGUCAACUUCAAACGAUCAUAACUCCUUGUACAGGACGAACUGGGUGGCCUACUUUAUAUUAAAUGAAAGCCCUUUGAAUUAUCUUUCCAACGAUACCAAUUUCACCCAAAUCCGAUAUCGGAGCAAAGAGUUAUGGUCGAUUUACUUUAGCCUAUCAAAACAGUCCACCAUGGACAGAUUCGGAUUUACUUAAAUUUUAAGGGCAAUAUGGUCAUUUUCCAUCACCUCAUGGACGAAAAUUGGUCAUUAUANNNNNNNNNNNNNNNNNNNNNNNNNNNNNNNNNNNNNNNNNNNNNNNNNNNNNNNNNNNNNNNNNNNNNNNNNNNNNNNNNNNNNNNNNNNNNNNNNNNNNNNNNNNNNNNNNNNNNNNNNNNNNNNNNNNNNNNNNNNNNNNNNNNNNNNNNNNNNNNNNNNNNNNNNNNNNNNNNNNNNNNNNNNNNNNNNNNNNNNNNNNNNNNNNNNNNNNNNNNNNNNNNNNNNNNNNNNNNNNNNNNNNNNNNNNNNNNNNNNNNNNNNNNNNNNNNNNNNNNNNNNNNNNNNNNNNNNNNNNNNNNNNNNNNNNNNNNNNNNNNNNNNNNNNNNNNNNNNNNNNNNNNNNNNNNNNNNNNNNNNNNNNNNNNNNNNNNNNNNNNNNNNNNNNNNNNNNNNNNNNNNNNNNNNNNNNNNNNNNNNNNNNNNNNNNNNNNNNNNNNNNNNNNNNNNNNNNNNNNNNNNNNNNNNNNNNNNNNNNNNNNNNNNNNNNNNNNNNNNNNNNNNNNNNNNNNNNNNNNNNNNNNNNNNNNNNNNNNNNNNNNNNNNNNNNNNNNNNNNNNNNNNNNNNNNNNNNNNNNNNNNNNNNNNNNNNNNNNNNNNNNNNNNNNNNNNNNNNNNNNNNNNNNNNNNNNNNNNNNNNNNNNNNNNNNNNNNNNNNNNNNNNNNNNNNNNNNNNNNNNNNNNNNNNNNNNNNNNNNNNNNNNNNNNNNNNNNNNNNNNNNNNNNNNNNNNNNNNNNNNNNNNNNNNNNNNNNNNNNNNNNNNNNNNNNNNNNNNNNNNNNNNNNNNNNNNNNNNNNNNNNNNNNNNNNNNNNNNNNNNNNNNNNNNNNNNNNNNNNNNNNNNNNNNNNNNNNNNNNNNNNNNNNNNNNNNNNNNNNNNNNNNNNNNNNNNNNNNNNNNNNNNNNNNNNNNNNNNNNNNNNNNNNNNNNNNNNNNNNNNNNNNNNNNNNNNNNNNNNNNNNNNNNNNNNNNNNNNNNNNNNNNNNNNNNNNNNNNNNNNNNNNNNNNNNNNNNNNNNNNNNNNNNNNNNNNNNNNNNNNNNNNNNNNNNNNNNNNNNNNNNNNNNNNNNNNNNNNNNNNNNNNNNNNNNNNNNNNNNNNNNNNNNNNNNNNNNNNNNNNNNNNNNNNNNNNNNNNNNNNNNNNNNNNNNNNNNNNNNNNNNNNNNNNNNNNNNNNNNNNNNNNNNNNNNNNNNNNNNNNNNNNNNNNNNNNNNNNNNNNNNNNNNNNNNNNNNNNNNNNNNNNNNNNNNNNNNNNNNNNNNNNNNNNNNNNNNNNNNNNNNNNNNNNNNNNNNNNNNNNNNGAAGCACAAUAGUGCAAUAUGGGUAUCGUUAGACUCGUAUUGAUGAGUAGAUUAUAUUUUUGAUAGUGCGGUGGCAUUUUGGGGAGUGGGAAGUGAAGACGAGCAUGUGGUGCUUGACGUGUGAUUUUGCGAUUUAGCCUUAAGGUAAGCUUCUGUCUACUCUUCUUCAUGGAUGAUGUAUGAUAUAUAUUGUGUGAAUGUGAAUGAUAAGAUUAAUAUUGAAUAGAAUGACUUAGUAUUGAAUAUACAUAUAAGUUUGGAGAUUAGAUAGGGUUUUUGACCCGUAGGUUGAAUUACUUAGUAACCUUGUAGAAUCCUAUUGCCUUCUCCCUAGUUUGGGUAAAUUUGUAGCAUGGAUAUGAUAUAAUGCUAUGCUCGGAAUAUGGUUUUAGCAUUUGAAGCAUGAUUUGUAUAUUUAGCCUUAUUGGGCUAGUGUGAUAGUUUUGAAACCGUAAGUUUGAUAGAGUUAACUUGAGUACCCUUGUUUCUAAUCGAAGUUACUAUCUUAGGCGAUAAUAUGGCUUGCUUGACAUCUAGAGGAUGAACUAGAUACCUUAGCCUAGUUUGGAGCAUAGUAUGCUUAAUAAUGGAUUAGAAGUGGGAUUAUCCGGCCCACUUAGGCUAAGAUUUGUGUUAGCCCUUGUGGGCUUAGUUGCAGAUAGUAGACCUAGUUGAGACUAAUGAGCCUUAUUUAUGAGAAUUACUUGGUGAAUUGAUAAAUUAUGAUGAUUUUUGUCGGAUUAUGAUUAGUGGCCCAUAGAGAUGCAUUUUUCUCUUUAUUAUGAUAUUUGACCCAUAGAGAUGCAUUUUCCUCUUUAUUAUGAUAUUUGACCCAUAGAGAUGCAUUUUCCUCUUAAUUAUGAUAUUUUGUCCAUGGAAAUCAUUUUCCUCUUAAUUAUGAUAUUUUGUCCAUGGAAAUGCAUUUUCCUCUUUAUUAUGAUAUUUGGACCAUAGAGAUGCAUUUUUCUCUUAAUUAUGAUAUUUUGCCCAUGGAGAUGUAUUUUCCUCUUUAUUAUGAUAUUUGGCCCAUAGAGAUGCAUUUUCCUCUUUAUUAUAAUAUUUGGUCCAUAGAGAUGCAUUUUUCUCUUAAUUAUGAUAAUUUGCCCAUAGAGAUGCAUUUUUCUCUUAAUUAUGAUAUUUUGCCUAUAGAGAUGCAUUUUCCUCUUAGUUACGAUAUUUGGCCCAUAGAGAUGAGUUUCCUCUUUGUUAUAAUUAUUGAGCUUAUAGAGACGAUUUUUCUCUUGAUCAUGAUGCAAAACCUAUAGAUAUGAGAUGUCUAAUAGGGUUGAUAUGCUUGUUGAUAUUAUGCCUUCUAGAUGUGAGAUGAUUAUAGAUAUGCUACGGUUUAUAAAUAUGAUUAUUGAUAUGAGUUCCGGAUAUGUAUAUAGGCCUAAGGCCAUGAUUAUGAUGUUGUGAUUAUUCCGGAUAAAUUAAUGGGCCAAGGACCGUGUUAUGGUACUGAUUAAAUAUCCAAAAAGUGUUUAUCAUUGUGAAUGAUGUGAUUGCGAUUUAUGGAUAUGUAUAUGUUUGUAUACACAUCUCUCCGAUAUGGGACGGAGGAAGAUGCGGUAUGAUACUUAUUAUUUCAUUGAUUGAAUACUAGUGAUAGCAUGCAUAAGUUUGGUACGUUCAUGAUUAUUUACCAUUAUAAAUGAUGUGAUUAUAGCCGAAAUAUGAUAUUAUGGUUUUUCUUCUUGUUAGACGGUUAAGCUAUGUGGUAACUAGUUGUCUAUUAGCUAACUAUUGCACUUAAUGGCUAUGAAACUAAUGUAUUAAUUAAUGAAUCUUGCUUAGUUGGAACAUGGUAGCUAACGAUGGUCAGUUAAUGAAUGAUGUCAUUUAAUAAAAGAUGGUUAGGUGACAAGUAGUAAUGUGUUGUCUAGUAAUGAUUAACAAAAAUAGGAUGAAUAGCUGAUAAUAAUAAAUGGUAGAUAAAUGACGGAUUUGGUCUAAUGAUGAACCUAGACUAGUUGUUAGAUGUUGACUAUUAAAUGAAUAGUGGUUAGUUGUUAUCUCGUGAAUAAGGAUUAUGUGAACGAUAAUGUUUAGGCUAAUAACUAGAGGUUAUGUGAUGACUAGCGAACUAGCGGUUUAAUAAUAAUAAAUGUUGAUUAGCUAAUAACAAGUAAUUGGGAUGUAUUGAUAAGAUAGAUAUCUUUACGGUUAUGAGUAUAUAGGCUUGCGUCUGUGCACCUAUUAUAUGCCUAUAUUUAUGUGUCGAGAGUUAUGAUGAUACAUUGAUACCCGAUAAGGCCGGAGGAUAUUAUGAUGAUAUUGAUACCCGGUUCGAGUCCGGAGGAUACUAUUGAGAUGAUAUUGAUACCCGGCAAGAUUGGAGGAUAUUAUGAUGAUAUUAAUACCCGGUUCAAGUUCGGAGGAUACUAUUGAGAUGAUAUUGAUACCCGACAAGGCCGAAAGAUAUUAUGAUAUGUAACACCCCGUACUUAAUUACGUGCAUUAGUCAUUGUUAUAUGUGUUGGGGUAUAUGUAUUGAUCCUAAGUUAGGUAUAUAUGAGUUUAAGUAUGAGUAUUGAUUAUUUUGAGAUGGUUUCAAGUGUAUAGUUUGAUUAUAGGUGUAUAGGAAUCGACUUUAUUUAUACCGGAAUUUUCACGUCGAUGGUUCCAUACGAAGGUUCUUGAAUAAGCUUUCCAACGAUAUAAAGAUUUCCAAAAACGGAUACGUUGCGGAUAUAAUCGAGCACGUUCGAAACUAUAAAACGGUGGCCGGGAUGUUGUGAACAGUAAAUGUGCAGGAAAAUUUCCUGCACACAAACUACUGAGGCCUGCCAGUUUUUUGGGUCAACUUUGAACGAUCAUAACUCCCUCAAUAUAAUGAACUGGUUGAGCUACCAUAUAUCAAAAGAAAGAUCUUUGAGUCUUCUUUCCAAUGAAAUUGGUUUCAUCCAAAUCCAACAUCUGAGUAAGGAGUUAUACUCGUUUUACUUCAGCCUCUCAAAACAGAUUUUUAGGGUCAACUUCAAACGAUCAUAACUCCUUGUACAGGACGAAAUGGGUGGCCUACUUUAUAUGAAAUGAAAGUCCUUUGAAUUAUAUUUCCAACAAUACCAAUUUAACCCAAAUCCGAUAUCGGAGCAAAGAGUUAUGGCCGAUUUACUUUAGCCUAUCAAAACAGUCCACCAUGGACAGAUUCGGAUUUACUUAAAUUUUUAAGGGCAAUAUGGUCAUUUUCCAUCACCUCUUGAACGAAAAUUGGUCAUUAUAUACAUAUACUUAGCCUCAUAUCCAUUAUUUAUCAUCCAUUAUUGAAAACUAAGAAACCCUAGCCAAAUUUCAACUCCAAUUAUCUUGUGAUUCAACCGUAGAAAAUCCAAAUUGAUUCCGUAGUUGUGUUCACCGUCUCAAGGGCUUCGAGAAGCACCCCUUAUUUGUGCCAACAGGACUUCGAAAUCAAAAGGGCCAUUUUUUUGGUAAGGAUGUAAAUUAUGUUGGUGUUAUUUAUAUGGAUAUGUAUAUAUAUAUAUAUAUGCAUGUGAGCAUAAGAAGUAUGUUAUUUGAUUGUUGUUGAAAGAUGAUUGGAAAUGAUGUUGGAUUAUUCUUGUGCAUGGUUGGAUUAUGUUAAAUUGUGAAGGAAUUUGGGGUGAUGAUGUGGUAUUGAUGAUGUGGUAUUGAAAUGAUGAUUAUAUAUAUAUACACACAUAAACCUAUUGUUCAAGUUGGUUUUUGGAAUGUUUUGCAAAUAUUGGUAGUAUGGAAUUAUGGAAGAGAAUUGUGGUGUUGGGUUGCUAAUACUAGAUGCCAAACAUUUCAUUGUAGAUAAGUGAUUUGUAAAGGCGGGAAGUUGUGUUGAAUUGGUAUCUGAAUCUACAACGAGGUAUGUAAAGCAUACUCUAACAAUGUUCUUUGGCAUGAAAACACCAAUGUUCCAUCAAGUAAGAUUCCGAGGUUGUCCAAAAACAUGUAUUGUUCUACGUUACCAACGAAGUUGUUUCCAUUCUAUAAAGUGUCAAAAUGUUUCAUUGAUAUACCAAAAGGCUCUUAUUUCAUUGUUGUGAUAUUGAUGAUUCUGAAACACAUUGUUGAUGUACCAAUGAGUCUUUAUUACAUCGUUAUUGUAUAGAAGGUCUAUUACUUGGUUCCUAUUGAUGUAUCAUUGUUUCAAAGUAUCAAAAAUGUGGUGGCGACCGAAAUAACAAUCUCAAAGAUUAAUUGAACUAAGUGAUGAAAGUUCUCUCUUAUCGGGUGGUAUCCCAGGGGCAUAAGCCUAGCAUGGGUCGAUCCCUAUUUCAUGUGUUUAUGGGUGGUAUCCCAGGGGCAUAAGCCUAGCAUGGGUCGAUCCCAGUUGAUAUGUACUGGAGGCAUCCUAAUGGUCACAGUACAGUACAGUAAUGAUUACAAAGACGAUAAGAACGAAGGUAAAGUGAUUGAAUAAAUACAAUGUACAGGUUGUCACAAGUUCUAGUAAGUGUGGUCCACUCCUAUUACGACUUAUUCACUUGUUUCUGAUUUCUAUUGAGCUCCUAUAUCAUAUGUGAUUAUUUACAGCUUUACAUACUCAGUACAUAUUUCGUACUGACGUCCCUCACGGGGGACCUGCAUUUCAUGCUGCAGGCACAGGUACCUCAGCUCAUACACCGCCCAAGUAGGAGCCAGGUCAUACAACUAUUGUUGGUGAGCUCCAGUUUGCUUCGGAGCUUUUCGAGUCGGUUCCUUAUGUUUUGUUAUUGUACAUGAGUCAUGUGUGGGCGGGGGUUUAUCCCGACCCUAGUUAUGUCAUGUAUAUCCUAGAGGCUUUGUAGACAUAAGGGAGGGUAAAGUCAUGGAAGUUUAUAUAGUAACGUUAUAUUUGUAUAUGUGGUGGCCUAUAUAUAUAUAUAUUUGCGCGUGUUGUGCUGAUACAGGUAAUUAGACCCUUCUAUAUGCAACGAAGUGCUGUCCAAUUUUUGGUGACAUGUAAGUGAAAGUACAGGUAUUUGAACGGGUUCUCCCGGGCCUUCUCGGCUUCGGGUGCCAGUCCGGCCCGAUGGGAUUUUGGGGCGUGACAGAUAUUGAUACCCGGUUCGAGUCCAGAAGAUACUAUUAAGAUGAUAUUGAUACCCAGCAAAGCUAUUGAUACCCGGUUCGAGUCCGGAGGAUAUCAUUGAGAUGAUAUUGAUAUCCGAUGAGGCCGGAGGUUGAUGACGAUGAUGAUGGUCCUGAUGAGGACAGUUAUGAUGCAUUGUGAUAUUGAUGGUAUAUUUUGCAUUCAUUCCUGCAUGCGCAUCGCCUAUCACCAGUAAGCACCUAUGUCUAUCAAUCGGUAUGGGACGGUUGCAUAGAUAUGGGUGAAGAAUAUGUCUUGUGUUAUUGUUUGUUAAUUGAACCUUCCAAGUCUGGGGUGAUGGGGGUACACAUAGGCUCGGCUAGGUAUUUGAUUGUCCGGAGUAGCCAGUUAUUUAUGAUGUUAUUGAUAUUGUUAUUAUCAUGGUUAUGAUCAUUAUUAUGGAUAACUUAUGACAGAUUGGUCAUGGAUCCGGUAUUGGGAUUGAGGUAUGUUUUCGACCUUUGUUAUCUUAUGAUUAGAUUAUUAUGCAUGAUUAUUCUAUGUCUAGCCAUAUGGAUUAGAAAUCCUGAGUAUGUUGGUAUUGAAUCCUGAUAGUAUUAUAAUGAGGUCUUAAAAUGAGAACAUGAUGAUGUAGGUUAUGUUGAAAUGACCUUCUAUUUUUAUAUAUAUAUAUAGAGAGAGAGCUAUAUGAAGUCAUGGUACUAUUGGAUAUCCCUUUCUUCGUUGUUCAUAUUGUAUAGUCGUUCCUUCGCCUUGUCUAUUACAAUAUAUCUUUAUUUCGCUCUUUAUCUGUAUAUUGACCUGGGAUACACGGUAUAGCUUUGGCAUAUAUUGAAUGUAGCUGGAAUAAAAUAGUACACCUUGAUACUUCGUUAGUCUUAUUAUGUUAGACUCUUGGACAUGAAUAUGAUAGUUGUCCCUUGUUAUUCUCAUUGACUUAUUACAUGAUUUAUGGACUCUUGGUUGUAUUUUUCAUUCUGUUUAUAUGUUGUAUAUAUCUACUUUAUCUUUGGAGCUCAGUUGGUAGUUGCCUACUGAGUACCAUUCGUUUGGUACUCAUACUACACCUCUGCAGCCUGCAGAUCAUAGUACGAGUUGUCGCCGUUGAUGUGUUCAUCGUGUGGAGUAGCCCUGAUUCAGAGUGAGCUCCUGACAUUUGGAGUAUUACUUAUCUCUCUCCUAUGUAUUAGACUAACCUCUAAGUUGUAUUUAGAGGUAAGUUGAAUUAGUGUAUUUCUCCUUGAUAUAUCACUUUUGUACUCUUAUUAUAUUUAGAAGCUCUUGUAUUGAUACCACCAGGUUUUGGGAUUCGUCUAUGUAUGAUCUUUAUCUCACAUAUUUCGCAUUUUUUUCUUUAUGUUAUUAAGUAGUCCGUUACUAGCCAUUCCGGACUAUGGGUUGGCUUGCCUACUGGUGGGUUAUGUUAGGCGCCAUCAUGACCUGAAAAGUUGGGUCGUGACAUUUGGGUUGGGGGCUUGUCCACCGAGUUAAGGGCGGGUCUCAUAUAGCCCGUGGGAUACUUUCAGAUAUGUAGGGUGUACCACCUAACUCAGAAGUAAAACAAAAAAAUGAAUUGCAUCUACAGAAUUGUUUUAAGAUCAUUUGAAAUUGCCCAUGCAUUUUAAAUUAUUUUAUGCAUAACAUUUUAUGAAAUGCUCUUGCUUAUGUUAUAUAUAAAAUUAUAUUAUUUUGGAUUGCUCUGUGUAUUAGUACAUCUGUAUUGACCCCCUAUAUUUCAGGGUGUGAGGCUUAGUCAAGGGGUCCCUCUAAGCCGUAGAUUUGUCAGACAGAGGUGUGCAGUUGGUAAGUCUCCCUUAUUUUGGAAGACCUAUUUUUUUUUACAUUGUUAUUUCAUUUUGGGUUGUAGGUCCGACUAGGGGACUUGUCCCAGUAUUCAGACAAUAGUGUUUUUGAGUUGUUGGAGAUUUCACAAACUAGUGUCAGGUGCUUUUGAAUGUAUCAUGAACUCAAUUUUGUGUUGUUCAGUUGAAGUAAAAGAAUGACCAUGAUUUCGUAUGAUAACUUUUCCACACUUCUGUAUAUUGUAUGAACAUUGUGUAUGGUUGCCAGAUAAAAAAGGGGCGCUCGGGCCUUCACGGGUUCGAGAUGCUCGUCGCGGCCAGGGCCUCGAUUCGGGUAGUGACAAUUAGCAUCUUAAUACAUAAUUAGCAUCUAAAUACAUAAUUGUAAUGUUGAGAUACAUAAUUUAAUUACUGAGAUACAUUUAUUUCUGAAACUAUUUGAUAGAGAUACAUAAUGCAUUAACUAGACCAAAGAGAGAUACAUAAUUAAUUAUGUAUCUAAAAAUUAUGUGUUUGUGGAUGUAUCCGACUGAUUUUAAAAAAAAUGAGAUUUAGGUCAUUAAUAAAAAGAGUAGAAUUUUACGUAAUUUAGUAAAGAUAAGUUGUGGUGUUAUGUAAGUUUUUUUUUUUAAUUAAAUGAAAAAAAUACUCAAAACUAUAAUCUAAGUUUCUAUUAUUACAUAACUACUCAACUAUCAAAAAUAAUUAUAAAAAUCUCUUUUUGACACUUUCUCUCUUCAAACUUCAUAUACAUAUUUCUGUUAUCCUUUUCUUACACUUAAUGCUCCAAAAAAAGUGUCUAACAUCAAGGAACCUCAAUCAAACGAUUUUCAAAUUUUGAAUUUACAAAUGUGUUCUUCGCAAAUCGCUCAACAUCAACUUUUCCACAAAAAGGAACCACAACCGCCACAGUCCCAGCCAUCAUGUCGCCAACUAGUCUCCCCUCAUUAACAACGACCAAUGAAGGCUUCACCGGUUACCGUUGCUCCACCAUCACUAGACCAUUACCUUAACCCCCCACCCUUUCUUAUGUCAAUACCGCGCCGCUAACACAUGCUCCAUCCAAGAUUGAUCCCAACAACUGCGUCGAGUGGCCAGAGAGAGGUCCGCGACGACCACCAGUCAAACCCUAAAAUUUUUUCUCAUCCCGCGAGUUCUGAAAAUACUUCGAUGAUUUGAGCAUUGACGAAAUUUCAACGCCGAUUCAAAGACAAGGAAAGUUUCAACAUCGAGUCAAAUACUUAUCAUGUAUCAGAAUAAGUUGUUAUUUCAAUAAUAUACAUAACAUAGUUAUGUAUAUGGAUGGUUAAAACGGUAAAGACAAUAUAAUCUGAUGCAUAACACAUGAAUGUAUACAUAUGACAUUUGACAUUGCUGAGAGUUUUUAUAUCACAUCAUAUACAUAACAUAUAUGUUUGACAUAGACAUUGCUGGGUUGUUUUACUUCAAAAAGUAUACAUAACAAAGGUAUGUCUAUGUAUGCUAUACAAAUUGUUGAGUUGUUUUAUUUUAAACCAUAUGCAUAAAAAAGUUAUGUAUAUAUUUGACCUAGACAUUGUUGGGCUUUUUCAUUCCAAAUUUAUAUACGUAACAGAGUUACGUAUAUGUAUGACAUACAGAUUGCUGAGUUAUUUUAUUUUAACCCAUAUACAUAACAUAGAAAUUUAAUGCAAAGUUCUUGGUGUUGAAUAUAGCCUCAACUAUUAGGAGAGCUCUUAUUUUCAUAUCACCAAUACAUAACUAUGUUAUGUGUAUGGAAUACAUAAGCAAUUGCACAUGUGUGUUGACGCAUCUCGCAACAUAUACAUAUCAUAGUUUUGUAUAGGACUCUGUUCGACCUGUUUAAUUGUAUUAUUUCAAUCUAUAUACAUGUCACACUUUUGUAUAUAGAAGAAUGUUAGCCAUUGCUCAACUGUAUUAUCAGUAUUGAAAAUUUUUGUUAGAAAUUAAAUUAAUAUUAAUUUGCAAUGUAUAUUAUUAUAGGAGAUGGAAUACAUCAAAUGCCUCAAUAAUAUUGGAAUGUUCAUCUUUUUGAGAAAUUCUUUUGAAAAAUAGAGCUUGAGAAAAAUCGCAAAUUAUUGAUCGAAAAUAUAAAAUCUGAUGUUAUUUGAUCGACUACAUUGAUUUUGUAUUUCAAAAAUUUUAAAAUUUAAAUUUAUUACUGAUUUUAAGGGAUUCAAUGUUCACUCAUUGAUAGAUAUGACGUUAAUUGCGUUCCACAUUAAAGGAAGACGUGGGUAAUGUGAUAGACAUUUAACUCUGAUAUUUGGUUGAAAUUAAUAGAAUGUUUUUGUAAAAAUAAAAGAAUAAGAUCAUUCGUAACAAUAAAUAAAGUUGAAAUUUGUGUCAUGGCCAAACAUUUUAACUUUUUACUAAAGUGAAAUAAUUUUUUAAAAAAUAAAAAAUUGUUUUGUCCAAACGGGUCCUAAAAGGUGGGAGGGAGUAACAAUUAGUAGUAGUCGGUGAUCGGCUCCUUCAAUCAACGGCUCAUAUUCAGUUUCCGCCUCUCACAUGGAUCGACAUUUCUAUCCGUCCGAUUAACAUGUAAAUCCCCGAAUAUUUAACGGCUGCGAUUUACUCCCCGCCACAUUUCGAACCGCGAAAAUUCAUGGCGCCCAAAUCCCCAAAUAUUAAAUACCCACCACGGUAUACUUCAUUUCUCAUUCAAAUUCAAAACCCUUGAAACUGUAUCUUCUUCAAAUUUCUCUUCGUGAAAAUGUCUGGCCGCGGAAAGGGAGGCAAGGGAUUGGGAAAGGGAGGAGCCAAGAGGCACAGGAAGGUUCUAAGAGACAACAUCCAGGGAAUUACCAAGCCAGCCAUCCGUAGGCUUGCUCGUAGGGGUGGUGUGAAGCGUAUCUCCGGUCUGAUCUAUGAGGAGACUCGUGGUGUGCUCAAGAUCUUUUUGGAGAACGUGAUUCGUGAUUCGGUUACCUACACUGAGCAUGCCAGGAGGAAGACCGUUACUGCUAUGGAUGUUGUUUAUGCUCUUAAGAGGCAGGGAAGGACUCUGUACGGAUUUGGUGGUUAAAUUGCAGAAGUUGUGAAUUAGAUCAGUUGUUAGGUGGUUGAUGUAGAUCUGAUGGAAAUUUCUGUGUUUUGGUUUCUAAAACGUUGUUCUAGUUCUUAAGCUUUGGAUGGUGAAUUUCUCAUUGCAUUUUCAAUGAACAAUGUUCAGUUUCUAGAAAUUUCUAUUGUUAUUUUCCAUCUUACUAGUAUUGUUGAUAAUUGGUUGAAAUGACUUUUACUAUUUGUGCAAUUCAGAUUUAUACAUUCAUGAAAUGCACCAAUUUUCUUUCCAUUUCUCCGUUGUUGAGAAAGCUGAAAGGUGGAUAAGCAUUAACUUUGUGGGCACAGUAUCUAAGUUUCUAGCUUGAGCGAUUCAAUCUGGAGAGGGCCAUGUUUUAAUUUUGUUUUUUAAAAUAUCCACUUGCUUUUUGUCCGCUGUUUCUUGAUAAUUUGAAUGGUUAGAGUGUGUUUAAUUGUAGUUUGCUUUAGUAGCUGAUUAUCUUGAUAUUGAUUUGUUGUCUCAUAUCUAAAUUGUAGCUCAUUUCCUUCUUACCUUGAUGACUUUUGCUCUCUUCUGAACUAGUGUUUGUGAAUAUCCUCUUCAUGUGCUUAAUUGUCUAAAAUCACACGGGAUGGGUUUAGGCAACGAGUUGUGGUUCAUUUCAAAUUGAAUUUUGUUGUUUUGUUGAGCUAUUUUUCAAUUUUUUCCUGUUCCUUAAAUCAUCUUGAUUUGUCAUCUUUUGGAGAUUUGACUUGAUUGAGUUGAAUUUGCUUUGUGUUAUGGUGCUCUUUCCUUAGGCAUAUAUGUCUGCUCUACCCUGUACUUGAAUUUUGUGGAAUGAGUUAACUGCGUGCUGAGUGAUGAUAUAAGUAAGCAGCUAAGUGGUUCAUGGGUCUUACGGCAACAUACCUAGACUUCUUCAUAUGUCUAGACUAGAAUUUUAAGUCUGUUAGUAGUUUGCAUCACUGCUUUAUUUCGACUUGGAUAAUUGGGCAGCCUUCGAGUUUCUUUUGCAUGAUGGUUUGGACUCUCACAAGGUUGGUCUUUUUUCUAAAUUCUAAUGCGUCUUUCUGAAGUAGGAAAGAGAUCUGCAAAGCAGAUCCAUCUUCGUAAGAAUAUCUGCAGAGCUCAACAUCUAUUUGUUUCAAAAUUUUAGAACUUAUCACAUUAUAGUUAGGAGAAACUGCACUCAAUAGCCUCAAUAUACACUCUGAUAUAUCCACAAAACAUGAAGUAGCAUGACGGUCACAUUUCAGUCAUCAGGCUCCUAUUUCCUUUUGAUCUUAAAUUUUGAAGCUGUCUCAACAGUUAGGUCUUUGUAGUAUUGGUUUACAUAUUCAUCACAAUAUCAGUCCUUUGAAAUUUAUUCAUGGUUAAAUAACAUACCCUAUGUGAUCUUGUAAGUCGGAUUUAGGGAGAGUGGGUAUACGUUGUUGGGUUCAAUAUGUAUGAAAAAUGUGUGAAUGGAAAAUAGAGAGAAAAUGGUGGAAGGAAGGAGACACUAAUUUAGAACGUGUACUCCCAAAUUGGAAAUUUCACUAAUUCUCCCACAUUGGUGGGAGAAGGGAACUUUGGAGUGUUUAUAAUGAUGAACACUUACUCCACAUGGUAAGUGAGGCAAGAAGUAAGAGAUGACUUGCGCCGUUGUCGCUUGCGCGGCUCGGAUUUGGAUUUUUCAAAUGAUCGAUCGAUGAGAUCUAUUUUUUGGACAAAAUUUAUUUGAAUUCUGAAAAAUACCAAAGGGAAAAAUGAAUAACGCACUAAAUAUUUUCUGUGUUUAAUACUCCAUUUAUAUGCACUUCAGUAGUGUUUCGAAACAUGCAUGCAGAAGCUAUUUCGAACUGAACAGAUGCUUCAGAAGGAUGCACUGUUUCGAACUGAUGCUUCUGAAGGAUGCAAUCCUUCAACGAAAUGAUACACUGUUUCAUGAAAUGAUACGCCUGUUCGGAACAAACAUAGUCCUUGGAGAAACAGACGUAAUUUUCCAGAAAAGGUGCAAUCUUUUAAGUGAACUAUUGCCACCUUUCAGAAGAGGCAUCUGAUGGUUAUAAAAACCUGCUUUCAUCCACAGGUUUGGAUAUGAAUGAAAUUUUUUUCUGAAAUAAAAACUCUUCUUGUCUUCAAAACAUUCCUUGUGAUCAAUCAAAUCGUUGAGUGAGUUCGUUGAAUUCAACAAUUUGAGGUAUCGCUGUUGUUCGGAUUGAAGACCAUUUUAUCCUGGGAGGAAGAUUUAUAACCUCGAGUACAGUGAGGGGAAUUAUUCCUUAAGGACAGUCCGUGAAGUCGGGGAACUUGGCCUUAAAAUUCUAUUUCAUCUCUUUUCUGAAAAAAAAAAAAAUUAACACACUUCUUAGAUAGAUUAUUCAUAAUCUAGUGUUGAAGGUGUUAAAGAACUUCAAAAGUGUUCUUGCCUUAGACUUGAACUAGUAUUGAAGUUGGUGUUGCAUUUUAUAUCGAAGUUGGUGUUGCAUUUUAUAUUGAAGUUGGUGUUGCAUUUUAUACAGAUUCUUGAAUCCAAAACAUUACAUAAAAUAACGUACGUAGACCUUACCCUGCCUCAUAUGUGAGAGAGACUGUUUCGUCUAGACACUUGGCUUAAAGAACAAUUUUUUGCAAAGCAGGUUGACAAAUAUAAGAAUAAAAGCUAUAAUCAUUAUAUAGUGUGUAAAAUAGAAGUACUGACCAAAAUAAAAGUAAAGAUAACCCAAGUAAAAAAUAAGUAGUAGGAGUUAGUUUCUCAAAUUGUCAUUUCAAAUUGAAUUCAGGAUUGGAAGAGGUAUCAAGGUUCCGUGGUGUAGUUAAUUAUCACGUUAGUCUAACACACUGAAGGUCUCCGGUUUGAGUCUGGGCAAAACCAAUUUUAAUCUCUUUUUUUUUUUUUUUCGUUAGUUUUGCUGCAACUUACUCAAGAAGCCAGGGUCCUUGUGUUGAGACUUGCUUUGGUGAAAGGAAAACUUUACUACGAAUUCACGGCAAACAGGACUACAGGAUUUGAAUUAGCUCAAUCAGCAAUUUUUUUGAGUUUUCCUGAUGUGCCAAACUGGAUUGGUGCUGAAACUUUAAGGAGUCUUAUUGGGAGGCUAGAUGCUUCGGAAAUCAAGUUUACUUAUGUCUAGAUUGCAAUAGCAACUUGCCAAAAGGUAUAUUUUGCUAUCCAAGAAAAUUUAACGACAAAUAUGAAAGUAUAGCAGUCGCAGGUAAUCAGCUUAGAAAUAGACAGGAUAUUCUUCUGUCAAACUCUAAACUUCACAACGUGUGAAAUCAGAAGACAACAAGUUCCCUGCUUUUAUGCAUAAGACUUGAGCAAAUACCAAUUCCAUCCUAAGAAAUUGACAUGAAUCAGAUAGACGAGUUACACAGAGGAAAAUAAAUAAGCACUGCAAAAGAUAUGGGAGACCGCCCCAUAUCUUCAGGGUGAGAGCGAAAAUCGAAAACCAUUAGGUUCACAAUUUUCAAACGUAUGUUAAGUAGCAAAACAUCAUCUUUCCCAAUACUAAAGUUCAGUAGCAUUUAGUGUCAAGUAAAAUAUAAGGAAAUAGAUCAGUAAUCUAGUAGUAACUUUUAACUAGUCGAUUAUACUCAAAUGUUUGACAGAUGACUUGUAUCCAGAAAUUAAAAACAAACUAAGAGCAUAUAGAGAAUGGUAGUACUGCAAUCUCAAAACAGAAUACCACACAAUUAUGGAAUUAGCAUUUUGCGUAAGUAUGAAGUCUAAUUACUCUAUUCAAAAAGUGUAUAUCUUUCUGCAUUUUGAUCAGCAUGAAUAGGCUAUCAAUGUAUGCAUUUUCAUCAUUAGUUGGUUCAUAUUAUCUAUAUCAUCAGCCAGUUGAUCAACAUCUUCAUUCAGUUCAUUGGGGUGCCUCCAUCUUGAUCAUGAUUUUGUUCCCUUUUGGAAUUGGAGCUUGUUUGCUUGUGGCGUUUCAAAGAAAUUCAUGCGAGCUUUGAUCUACCGUAAAUAAUAUCAUAUUAUGUUAAAAUAUCUUAAAUUAUUUUAGUCCAACAAUUGAUAUGAGUCUAUGGUUGACUAAGGAGAUGGGGGAGUGAUGAUGUAAGUCCCAACUUAGUUCCUUUGCCCGUUUACUUGUUGAUGUUCUAUUCUUAUCUAUAGUUUUAAAGAUGCAUACAUAAAAAAAGAAAAGUAUUUAUGGUUGUAUUAGCCACAACUACUCGGUCGAUUUUUUUUUUUUUAUAUAAUACUUUUGUACAUCCUAUUUUAUAUGACACACUUUUCUUUUUAAUCCGUCCAAAAAAAAUCUGACCUCACUAUAAUUAGAAAAAAAAAUAUGUAACUUUAAAAUUUUCCUUAAUGAAAUGAUUUGCAAUCAUAUAAACAUUCAAAACUAAUUUCAAACUACAUAUUUAAAAAUCACAUAAAAUGAAACGGAGGAAGUAAUAAUUAAAUAGUAACGAGCUGCGAGAAAGAGAAAACAAAUGCCUAAAUCUUCUUUCACAUGGAUCGUAUCCCCGUCCAAUCAUAUUCAGUUUCCGCCUCUCACAUGGAUCGACAAUUCUAUCCGUCGGAUUAACAAGUAAAUCCCCAAAUAUUUAACGGCUGCAAUUUACCCCCCGCCACAUUUCGAACCGCGAAAAUUCACGGCGCCCAAAUCCCCCAAAUAUAAAUAUCCACCACCAUCUACUUUACUUUUCAUUCAAAUUCAAAACCCUAGUAUCUUUUUCUUCUUCAAAUUUCUGUGUGUGAAAAUGUCUGGUCGUGGAAAGGGAGGCAAAGGAUUGGGAAAGGGAGGAGCCAAGAGGCACAGGAAGGUUCUGAGAGACAACAUCCAGGGAAUUACCAAGCCAGCUAUUCGUAGGCUUGCUCGUAGGGGUGGUGUGAAGCGUAUCUCCGGUCUGAUCUACGAGGAAACCCGUGGAGUUCUCAAGAUCUUUUUGGAGAACGUGAUUCGUGAUUCAGUUACCUACACUGAGCAUGCCAGGAGGAAGACUGUUACUGCUAUGGAUGUUGUUUAUGCCCUCAAGAGGCAGGGAAGAACUCUCUAUGGAUUUGGUGGUUAGAGCAGUUGUUAGGUAGUAGAUGUAGAUGUGAUGGAAAUUUAUGCUGUUUCUGUAUUUU
rnacentral:lncRNA from 1 species